GGUCCCGUAGUUCAACGGAUAGAAUGGAGGUUUCCUAAACCUUUGAUAUGGGUUCGAUUCCCGUCGGGACUA
rnacentral:tRNA from 1 species